UACGUAGGUGGCAAGCGUUGUCCGGAAUUACUGGGCGUAAAGCGCACGUAGGCGGCCAUGUAAGUUGGGGGUGAAAUCCCGGGGCUCAACCCCGGAACUGCCUUCAAAACUACAUAGCUAGAGGAUGUGAGAGGAUAGUGGAAUUCCGAGUGUAGAGGUGAAAUUCGUAGAUAUUCGGAAGAACACCGGUGGCGAAGGCGACUGUCUGGCACAUUUCUGACGCUGAGGUGCGAAAGCGUGGGGAGCAAACAGG
rnacentral:rRNA from 1 species